AGAUACCAUAGAUAUUAAACCGAAGAAAUAUAAGCUUCAAGAUGGUGAUCGAGAGCAUGAUCAUGAUCGUGAUUUUGAUCUUGGCUGGGACCAUGAUCAAGAUGUUGAUGGUGAAAGUCAUCAUCGUGAUUGGGACCGGGACCGGGACCGGGACCGGGACCGGGAUAGAGAUCGGGAUCGUGAUCAUGACCGUGAUCGUGAUUGGGAUCGGGAUAGAGACCGUGAACGAGAACGGGACCACGAGCGUGACCGUGACAGACAUCUUGACUAUGAUGAUCGAAGUGCUAUUAGAUACAAAGAUAGCAGGGGAAGGAAGAUAUCUCCUGAUGA
rnacentral:misc_RNA from 1 species